rnacentral:rRNA from 1 species
UUGCUUUGGAGGCGUCGAGCGGCGGACGGGGUGAGUAAUGCAUAGGAUUCUGCCCGAUAGUGGGGGAUAACCUGGGGAAACUCAGGCUAAUACCGCAUACGUCCUACGGGAGAAAGCAGGGGAUCUUCGGACCUUGCGCUAUCGGAUGAGCCUAUGUCGGAUUAGCUAGUUGGUGAGGUAACGGCUCACCAAGGCGACGAUCCGUAGCUGGUCUGAGAGGAUGAUCAGCCACACUGGGACUGAGACACGGCCCAGACUCCUACGGGAGGCAGCAGUGGGGAAUAUUGGACAAUGGGGGAAACCCUGACAGGCCUAACACAUGCAAGUCGAGCGGAAACGAUCAUAGCUUGCUAGGAGGCGUCGAGCGGCGGACGGGUGAGUAAUGCAUAGGAAUCUGCCCGAUAGUGGGGGAUAACCUGGGGAAACUCAGGCUAAUACCGCAUACGUCCUACGGGAGAAAGCAGGGGAUCUUCGGACCUUGCGCUAUCGGAUGAGCCUAUGUCGGAUUAGCUAGUUGGUGAGGUAACGGCUCACCAAGGCGACGAUCCGUAGCUGGUCUGAGAGGAUGAUCAGCCACACUGGGACUGAGACACGGCCCAGACUCCUACGGGAGGCAGCAGUGGGGAAUAUUGGACAAUGGGGGAAACCCUGAUCCAGCCAUGCCGCGUGUGUGAAGAAGGCCUUCGGGUUGUAAAGCACUUUCAGCGAGGAAGAAGGCCUGGGGGCUAAUACCCCUCAGGAAGGACAUCACUCGCAGAAGAAGCACCGGCUAACUCCGUGCCAGCAGCCGCGGUAAUACGGAGGGUGCGAGCGUUAAUCGGAAUUACUGGGCGUAAAGCGCGCGUAGGUGGCUUGAUAAGCCGGUUGUGAAAGCCCCGGGCUCAACCUGGGAACGGCAUCCGGAACUGUCAGGCUAGAGUGCAGGAGAGGAAGGUAGAAUUCCCGGUGUAGCGGUGAAAUGCGUAGAGAUCGGGAGGAAUACCAGUGGCGAAGGCGGCCUUCUGGACUGACACUGACACUGAGGUGCGAAAGCGUGGGUAGCAAACAGGAUUAGAUACCCUGGUAGUCCACGCCGUAAACGAUGUCGACUAGCCGUUGG